UAGGUGCAUCCGUGGCCCCAGUCC
rnacentral:miRNA from 1 species